UACAGAGGGUGCGAGCGUUAAUCGGAAUUAUUGGGCGUAAAGCGUGCGUAGGCGGCUAUGUAAGUCGGGUGUGAAAGCCCCGGGCUCAACCUGGGAAUUGCAUUCGAGACUGAAUAGCUAGGGUACGGUAGAGGGAAGUGGAAUUUCCGGUGUAGCGGUGAAAUGCGUAGAUAUCGGAAGGAACAUCAGUGGCGAAAGCGACUUCCUGGACCAGUACCGACGCUCAGGCACGAAAGCGUGGGGAGCAAACAGG
rnacentral:rRNA from 1 species